rnacentral:ncRNA from 1 species
UUUCAUAGAGGUAGACAAGGUUCUCUACACGCUUAGUAAUAACUAAGUCACCAGAGAUGAGGGAUAUGCCGACCCUCCUAUGAUA